GCUACGAGAGGCAGCAGUGAGGAAUAUUGGUCAAUGGACGAGAGUCUGAACCAGCCAAGUAGCGUGAAGGAUGAUUGCCCGAUGGGUUGUAAACUUCUUUUAUAUGGGAAUAAAACGUUCCACGUGUGGGAUUUUGUAUGUACCAUAUGAAUAAGGAUCGGCUAACUCCGUGCCAGCAGCCGCGGUAAUACGGAGGAUCCGAGCGUUAUCCGGAUUUAUUGGGGUUAAAGGGAGCGUAGGUGGAUUGUUAAGUCAGUUGUUAAAGUUUGCGGCUCAACCGUAAAAUUGCAGUUGAAACUGGCAGUCUUGAGUACAGUAGAGGUGGGCGGAAUUCGUGGUGUAGCGGUGAAAUGCUUAUAUAUCACGAAGAACUCCGAUUGCGAAGGCAGUUCACUGGACUGCAACUGACACUGAGGCUCGAAAGUGUGGGUAUCAAACAGGAUUAGAUACCCCAGUAGUC
rnacentral:rRNA from 1 species